rnacentral:rRNA from 1 species
UACGUAGGUGGCAAGCGUUGUCCGGAAUUAUUGGGCGUAAAGAGCUCGUAGGCGGCUUGUCACGUCGAUUGUGAAAGCCCGAGGCUUAACCUCGGGUCUGCAGUCGAUACGGGCUAGCUAGAGUGUGGUAGGGGAGAUCGGAAUUCCUGGUGUAGCGGUGAAAUGCGCAGAUAUCAGGAGGAACACCGGUGGCGAAGGCGGAUCUCUGGGCCAUUACUGACGCUGAGGAGCGAAAGCGUGGGGAGCGAACAGG